AUGCUUGCUUCACCAGCCCAUAUACUGAAAUGAAAUGAUACAGAGAUCAGCACAGUCCCUGUACAAGAAUGACAUGCAAACCAGUGAAGCAUUGCAUAUUUUU
rnacentral:snRNA from 1 species